AGACGCCCCGGACUCUGAAGAAGUUCUGCCCCAAUCCGUCAACUCCAACCGGUACAAAAACGCGAAGAAGCAUUACAGAGGUUGUCACCCAUUUUCCAUCCACUUGACCUCCACCUGGAACACCUAAAAAAAUUUCUCAAAUAAUUUAUGACAGGAUUGGGACCAAACAUGUCAGAAAUGUCAGCAGCCAGAAUCAGUAGGUCCAUUGGCAUCGUCAAAGAGCUAAUGGACAAAACGGACACAGAGCUGGAGCUGACAAGGCCGACUGGCAUUCAUCAUGUGGCCCGAGAACAGGAGGACGUUUUAACACUGGUAAACGUUUUCAGAGAGACACAACUUUCCCAACAAAAAUCACCCAGGCAGGCAGUAUCAUGCAUUCCCGAAUUUCAAGAGAAACUUAUUGGCAAAGCUGAAUUACCAGGAGA